UCACUUAUAUCGACCUCAAUCAAGGCUCCAAUUUUCUUAACAAUUUCGUUUGUAUCCUCUCCAGCUGUCCCAGGGAUUCCUCUUAUUUCGAGACAUUCGCGUCGCUUGUCAUCGAUGGAUGAAUGU